UGCUUUAUUCAUUUAAAAUAGAAACUUUGCAGUUGUGAUGCUAACAGGAAUUUCUGAAAUACCUUUAGUAGUUAAAAGUAUAAUAAGACAUAUUGAAGAAAGGAUAAAAUUAGAUAAUGUAAAGCAAUGUAUUUUCAGAUGAAGAAUUGUUAACAUUACAUGGAGCUUUUGGACCAGUAUUGCAGCGUGCCUUAGAUAUUCUAGA